rnacentral:rRNA from 1 species
UACGGAGGGUGCAAGCGUUAUCCGGAUUCACUGGGUUUAAAGGGUGCGUAGGCGGGUUGGUAAGUCCGUGGUGAAAUCUCCAAGCUUAACUUGGAAACUGCCAUUGAUACUAUCAAUCUUGAAUACCGUGGAGGUCAGCGGAAUAUGUCAUGUAGCGGUGAAAUGCUUAGAUAUGACAUAGAACACCAAUUGCGAAGGCAGCUGGCUACACGAAUAUUGACACUGACUGCACGAAAGCGUGGGGAUCAAACAGG